rnacentral:rRNA from 1 species
GGAGCCGGAGGGAAACCGAGUCUUAAUUGGGCGUUAAGUUGCAGGGUAUAGACCCGAAACCCGGUGAUCUAGCCAUGGGCAGGUUGAAGGUUGGGUAACACUAACUGGAGGACCGAACCGACUAAUGUUGAAAAAUUAGCGGAUGACCUGUGGCUGGGGGUGAAAGGCCAAUCAAACCGGGAGAUAGCUGGUUCUCCCCGAAAGCUAUUUAGGUAGCGCCUCGUGAAUUCAUCUCCGGGGGUAGAGCACUGUUUCGGCUAGGGGGCCAUCCCGGCUUACCAACCCGAUGCAAACUGCGAAUACCGGAGAAUGUUAUCACGGGAGACACACGGCGGGUGCUAACGUCCGUCGUGAAGAGGGAAACAACCCAGACCGCCAGCUAAGGUCCCAAAGUCAUGGUUAAGUGGGAAACGAUGUGGGAAGGCCCAGACAGCCAGGAUGUUGGCUUAGAAGCAGCCAUCAUUUAAAGAAAGCGUAAUAGCUCACUGGUCGAGUCGGCCUGCGCGGAAGAUGUAACGGGGCUAAACCAU